CUCCCAGAAACACCCGGGCCUCCGCCUAAUGCUCUACAUCUCACCUGGCACCGCCCCUUCCUGCGGACCUUACCUCUUAUUCCCGCCCCUUCCUGCCUCUGAGCCAAUCGCUCUCUGCCUCUCGCACAGGCUCUGUUUCCUCCUCUACUACUGGGCACUUUCUUCCGUCAGGUCUCAGAAACUCCAACCAACGGGAGCCAGUCAGCAGCUCCGCACUCAGCCAAGGGGGACUGAGCGGGAAGUAAGCAGAGCCCCGCGCUGCAUUGAGGGCGCUCUUCCUGGCUGGCUCCGGAUUCUUGGGCCGUCAGAUGAGCUUGGCCCAAACACCGGUUUCCGUGGGUUCAAGACAUGAGUCGUCGUCUCUUGUUAUGAGCCACCUCGGGGCUGUCAUGGAUUCGGUCAGUGAUAAAGCGCACAGACACUGUUGGUGCAAUUACAAGUGAAAUGGUAAUCACUUCUGAACACGAAGAGAUCAUGGAAACCCAAACCUUGUCUCGAGUUCAGAUGCCUGCCUUCUGUACCUGCAUAGGCUGCCCCCACACCCACUGUCCUGACAGCAAAUGCCCCCUGGGACAGGAGUUUGCUCAGAACCAUAGGCAUAUUGCCACCCUUGUCUCCCUGUAUUGGGACAGCUUAACGUCUUCUUUUCUGCUGCCCUGUCAUGGCAGAGAGAGAGAGAGAGAGACAGAGACAGAGAGACAGACACAGAGACGGGAAAAUACAUUGCUCCUGCUUUGGGACAAAGUGGGGUCGGCGUCCCAGGCACGCAAAGACUGCUUUGAUGAAAACCAAGAUGUUUCUAGAGGACUUUUUCCAACUCUCUCAAACCCAACGCUCAGCCACAAGUACAGUCACAGCUACAGUACAUACCACCCUCCAGAGAGAGGGCAGAGGAGGGUGGGGUGUUCAAGAAUCAGCUCUCCUUUCCAAAGAACAGAAAACUGUGCACGCUAUCCUGAAAACAAACAAAAACUAGACGUCCUAUGAAGUCAUCACGAAGUGCAGUUGUACUAUGCAUGACAGAUACGUGUGUGCUCACUGUGAAAAUGUGACCUGUGUGUAGCCUUAUAAAGGUGCGGAGGAAGCUCCGAGUGAGGAAAUGAUCA